AUGUGUUUGCCAGACCAGGAGAUGAACUUUGAAGUGCUGGUGUCUAGUGCCAGCAAACUCAGUCUCAGCCUCCCAGUGAAGCAGAAGAGCGAACGCAUCACCAGUGCUGACUCCAGGAUGAACUGUGAGAGAGAGGAUGUGCCAGCAGACUAAACAGGAGAUCGCUGACAUCCAUCAAGACAGACUUCUCCAUGACAUGGAACUAAACAGGUGGGAAAUCAAACUGAGAUUCUUGUCAGUUUGCCAAAAACGAAUUUAUGACUGAAAUGCCACUUUCGUUAGUUUUCUUUAUGUCCUGAGUGAAGGAAGAGAUUUCAAGCAACCCCGUCAAGCUGAAGAUGGCCAGCGAGAGAAUAUUUAUUAAAAGUGUAACUGUAUUCUACACUGUAUAGUUACAUAAGGGCUGUGCUAUAACCCACAUUUGUUGCAUAAACUAAGCAACAGUGAUUUUUGAGAACACUAACAUCAUGUGUAAUAUAGUGUCUUUCGUCUUGGGGAUUAGGUGUUUGACCGUGUGUUUUGCUGUGUUCAGGACCAACCUCUUUAUGCCAGCGAACCAAUAGGGAACUAUUGGAAAGAGUCAGCAGAGGUGAAGAACACAGAGACCAACCCCUCUGAAUUUCCAGACAACAGAAAGACAGCUGAACAGUGAUUACGAGACAUUGGACUGUCUCUCUCUAGAGAAAAUGAUGUCAGUUUAUUGUGCUAGAUCACUUCUAUUUUUUUUACAGUAGAUUUAAUUCUAUUAAAUUCUAUUAAAUCUAUUACAUUUGUUAUAGUAGUUUUUAAGUCAUUC
rnacentral:lncRNA from 1 species